UGUUGGGUUAAGUCCCGCAACGAGCGCAACCCUUAUCCUUUGUUGCCAGCACGUUAUGGUGGGAACUCAAGGGAGACUGCCGGUGAUAAACCGGAGGAAGGUGGGGAUGACGUCAAGUCAUCAUGGCCCUUACGAGUAGGGCUACACACGUGCUACAAUGGCGGAUACAAAGAGAAGCGACCUCGCGAGAGCAAGCGGACCUCAUAAAGUCGUCGUAGUCCGGAUUGGGUCUGCAACUCGACUCCAUGAAGUCGGAAUCGCUAGUAAUUCGCAGAUCAGAAUGCUGCGGUGAAUACGUUCCCGGGCCUUGUACACCACCGCCCGUCACACCAUGGGAUGGGGUUGCAAAAGAAGUCGGUAGCUUAACCUGUAGGAGGGCGCUGACCACUUUGUGAUUCAUGACUGGGGUGAAGUCGUAACAAGGUAACCGUAGGGGAACCUGCGGUUGGAUCACCUCCUUA
rnacentral:rRNA from 1 species